rnacentral:lncRNA from 1 species
GAUGUCCAUAGGCAAAUGCAAUAAUAAUUAGCUUUUAAGAGAAAUCUAAUUUGAGUAAGGAAAGAUGAUAGGAUAGAUAAAUAUCUUUAUAUGAUUAGUUAAAUGUGAAUUUGAGCCUCUUUAGUUUUUCUUUCAUUAUUUAUUAUCCUUCAUAAUAUUUUAAAUAUUUCUUCCGUUUCUUUUUAACGUUUUUAUUUGUUUGUUAAAUCUGUAGUUUGUAGAUUUUUACUAAAGUAUUUAUACUCGCCGCAUCGCGCGGGUCCCUACGCUAGUUUAUAUGACACAUAAACCAAUUUACAUUAUUUUUAGUUAAAUUAUAUUUUAAAAUUUAUUUAAUUAAUAAUUAAGAGAAUAAAAUAAUACAAAUAUUUUAAUUAGAAUUUAUUAUUA